rnacentral:tRNA from 1 species
AGCGGGGUAGGGCAGUCAGGAGUGCCCGGAGGGCUCAUAACCCUCAGGUCGGUGGUUCAAAUGAGGGAGUCAAUCUCUCUGGAUGUCCACUCCCCGCUA